rnacentral:rRNA from 1 species
CUUGGUCAUUUAGAGGAAGUAAAAGUCGUAACAAGGUUUCCGUAGGUGAACCUGCGGAAGGAUCAUUAACGAGAUCAUGCCCCCCGGGGUAGACCUCCCACCCCCUGUCUACAAUACCCUUGUUGCUUUGGCGGCCCCGUCGCAGGACAACCGGCCCCGGCUGGUCAGCGGCCGCCAGAGGACUCGAAACUCAUAUCAUCUCUGUCGUCUGAGUACUAUAUAAUAGUUAAAACUUUCAACAACGGAUCUCUUGGUUCUGGCAUCGAUGAAGAACGCAGCGAAAUGCGAUAAGUAAUGUGAAUUGCAGAAUUCAGUGAAUCAUCGAAUCUUUGAACGCACAUUGCGCCCCCUGGUAUUCCGGGGGGCAUGCCUGUUCGAGCGUCAUUACAACCCUCAAGCUCUGCUUGGUAUUGGGCGUCACCCCCGGGUGCGCCUCAAAAUCAGUGGCGGUGCCGUCUGGCUUCAAGCGUAGUAAUACUUCUCGCUUUGGAGUCCGGGCGAGCGUCCUGCCAGAACCCCCAUAUUUUUCAGGUUGACCUCGGAUCAGGUAGGGAUACCCGCUGAACUUAAGCAUAUCAAUAAGCGGAGGA